rnacentral:rRNA from 1 species
AGUGAACGCUGGCGGUAGGCCUAACACAUGCAAGUCGAACGGCAGCACAGUAAGAGCUUGCUCUUACGGGUGGCGAGUGGCGGACGGGUGAGGAAUACAUCGGAAUCUACUUUUUCGUGGGGGAUAACGUAGGGAAACUUACGCUAAUACCGCAUACGACCUACGGGUGAAAGCAUGGGAUCUUCGGACCUUGCGCGAUUGCAUGAGCCGAUGUCGGAUUAGCUAGUUGGCGGGGUAAAGGCCCACCAAGGCGACGAUCCGUAGCUGGUCUGAGAGGAUGAUCAGCCACACUGGAACUGAGACACGGUCCAGACUCCUACGGGAGGCAGCAGUGGGGAAUAUUGGACAAUGGGCGCAAGCCUGAUCCAGCCAUACCGCGUGGGUGAAGAAGGCCUUCGGGUUGUAAAGCCCUUUUGUUGGGAAAGAAAAGCAGCAGGUUAAUACCCCGCUGCUCUGACGGUACCCAAAGAAUAAGCACCGGCUAACUUCGUG